UUCCUGUACUUGGUGUUACUGCGAAGGGGGGACGGAGAAGGCUAUGUUGGCCGGGCGACGGUGUUCCCGGUUUAAGCGUGUAGGCUGUUUUUCCAGGCAAAUCCGGAAAAUCAAGGCUGAGGCGUGAUGACGAGGCACUACGGUGCUGAAGCAACAAAUGCCCUGCUUCCAGGAAAAGCCUCUAAGCAUCAGGUAACAUCAAAUCGUACCCCAAACCGACACAGGUGGUCAGGUAGAGAAUACCAAGGCGCUUGAGAGAACUCGGGUGAAGGAACUAGGCAAAAUGGUGCCGUAACUUCGGGAGAAGGCACGCUGAUAUGUAGGUGAAGCGACUUGCUCGUGGAGCUGAAAUCAGUCGAAGAUACCAGCUGGCUGCAACUGUUUAUUAAAAACACAGCACUGUGCAAACACGAAAGUGGACGUAUACGGUGUGACGCCUGCCCGGUGCCGGAAGGUUAAUUGAUGGGGUUAGCGCAAGCGAAGCUCUUGAUCGAAGCCCCGGUAAACGGCGGCCGUAACUAUAACGGUCCUAAGGUAGCGAAAUUCCUUGUCGGGUAAGUUCCGACCUGCACGAAUGGCGUAAUGAUGGCCAGGCUGUCUCCACCCGAGACUCAGUGAAAUUGAACUCGCUGUGAAGAUGCAGUGUACCCGCGGCAAGACGGAAAGACCCCGUGAACCUUUACUAUAGCUUGACACUGAACAUUGAGCCUUGAUGUGUAGGAUAGGUGGGAGGCUUUGAAGUGUGGACGCCAGUCUGCAUGGAGCCGACCUUGAAAUACCACCCUUUAAUGUUUGAUGUUCUAACGUUGACCCGUAAUCCGGGUUGCGGACAGUGUCUGGUGGGUAGUUUGACUGGGGCGGUCUCCUCCUAAAGAGUAACGGAGGAGCACGAAGGUUGGCUAAUCCUGGUCGGACAUCAGGAGGUUAGUGCAAUGGCAUAAGCCAGCUUGACUGCGAGCGUGACGGCGCGAGCAGGUGCGAAAGCAGGUCAUAGUGAUCCGGUGGUUCUGAAUGGAAGGGCCAUCGCUCAACGGAUAAAAGGUACUCCGGGGAUAACAGGCUGAUACCGCCCAAGAGUUCAUAUCGACGGCGGUGUUUGGCACCUCGAUGUCGGCUCAUCACAUCCUGGGGCUGAAGUAGGUCCCAAGGGUAUGGCUGUUCGCCAUUUAAAGUGGUACGCGAGCUGGGUUUAGAACGUCGUGAGACAGUUCGGUCCCUAUCUGCCGUGGGCGCUGGAGAACUGAGGGGGGGCUGCUCCUAGUACGAGAGGACCGGAGUGGACGCAUCACUGGUGUUCGGGUUGUCAUGCCAAUGGCACUGCCCGGU
rnacentral:rRNA from 1 species